rnacentral:sRNA from 1 species
AUGGCGGAUAUUGAUGUUGUAAGCCAUGUAGAU